rnacentral:rRNA from 1 species
UAGGGAAUCUUAGACAAUGGACGAAAGUCUGAUCUAGCCAUGCCGCGUGUGUGACGAAGGCCUUAGGGUCGUAAAGCACUUUCGCCAGGGAUGAUAAUGACAGUACCUGGUAAAGAAACCCCGGCUAACUCCGUGCCAGCAGCCGCGGUAAUACGGAGGGGGUUAGCGUUGUUCGGAAUUACUGGGCGUAAAGCGCGCGUAGGCGGACUGGAAAGUUGGGGGUGAAAUCCCGGGGCUCAACCCCGGAACUGCCUCCAAAACUAUCAGUCUAGAGUUCGAGAGAGGUGAGUGGAAUUCCGAGUGUAGAGGUGAAAUUCGUAGAUAUUCGGAGGAACACCAGUGGCGAAGGCGGCUCACUGGCUCGAUACUGACGCUGAGGUGCGAAAGUGUGGGGAGCAAACA